UCAGCAGUGUACACGCUCUUCCAUAAAGUUGGAGACAACAGCUGGGCCUUGAGACUGCCCCUGCAUACUUAUGCCUACGACUUCUCAGAGUCCCGUGGACAAUGACUGAGGAGACAAAACAUGCAGGAGACAGCC
rnacentral:snoRNA from 1 species